GAUGAAGAACGCAGCGAAAUGCGAUACUUGGUGUGAAUUGCAGAAUCCCGUGAACCAUCGAGUCUUUGAACGCAAGUUGCGCCCGAAGCCAUUAGGCCGAGGGCACGCCUGCCUGGGUGUCGCACGUCGUUGCCCCCCCAUCUACUCCUUCGGGAUUGCGGGGGGCGGAUGAUGGCCUCCCGUGCGCCUCGUCGCGCGGUUGGCAUAAAUGCCAAGUCCUCGGCGACGCACGCCACGACAAUCGGUGGUUGCGAAACCUCGGUUGCCCGUCGUGUGCGGUCGUCGCGCAUCGAGGGCUCGAAAAAAUUGCCGGGCUCCGGCUCGGCUUUCAACGCGACCCCAGGUCAGGCGGGGUUACCCGCUGAAUUUAAGCAUAUCAAUAAGCGGAGGA
rnacentral:misc_RNA from 1 species